UACGUAGGGUGCAAGCGUUAUCCGGAAUUAUUGGGCGUAAAGAGCUCGUAGGCGGUUUGUCGCGUCUGCUGUGAAAACUGGAGGCUCAACCUCCAGCCUGCAAUGGGUACGGGCAAACUAGAGUGCGGUAGGGGAGAUUGGAAUUCCUGGUGUAGCGGUGGAAUGCGCAGAUAUCAGGAGGAACACCGAUGGCGAAGGCAGAUCUCUGGGCCGUAACUGACGCUGAGGAGCGAAAGCAUGGGAGCGAACAGG
rnacentral:rRNA from 1 species